rnacentral:rRNA from 1 species
AGGGUGUAAACGCUGCGGGCUUGGUGUUGGGGGUCCUUUGAGGGCGCCCAGUGCCGGAGAGAAGUUGUUAAGCCUGCUGCUUGGGGAGUACGUCCGCAAGGAUGAAACUUAAAGGAAUUGGCGGGGGAGCACCGCAACGGGAGGAGCGUGCGGUUCAAUUGGAUUCAACGCCGGACAACUCACCAGGAGCGACGGAUAUAUGAAGGUCAAGCUGAUGACUUUACCUGAUUUUCCGAGAGGUGGUGCAUGGCGUAGUCGUGU